rnacentral:rRNA from 1 species
GACGAACGCUGGCGGCGUGCUUAACACAUGCAAGUCGAACGGAAAGGCCCUGCUUUUGUGGGGUGCUCGAGUGGCGAACGGGUGAGUAACACGUGAGUAACCUGCCCCUGACUUUGGGAUAACUUCAGGAAACUGGGGCUAAUACCGGAUAGGAGCUCCUGCUGCAUGGUGGGGGUUGGAAAGUUUCGGCGGUUGGGGAUGGACUCGCGGCUUAUCAGCUUGUUGGUGAGGUAGUGGCUUACCAAGGCUUUGACGGGUAGCCGGCCUGAGAGGGUGACCGGCCACAUUGGGACUGAGAUACGGCCCAGACUCCUACCGGAGGCAGCAGUGGGAAAUAUUGCACAGUGGGCGGAAGCCUGAUACAGCAACGCCGCGUGCGGGAUGACGGCCUUCGGGUUGUAAACCGCUUUCGCCUGAGACGAAGCGUGAGUGACGGUAAUGGGUAAAGAAGCACCGGCUAACUACGUG